ACAUUCUACUGUUGUAAGUCUCUCUGGAUAAGAGCGUCUGCUAAAUGACAUAAA
rfam:Salmo salar isolate Sally breed double haploid chromosome ssa15, whole genome shotgun sequence.